GACGAACGCUGGCGGCGUGCCUAAUACAUGCAAGUAGAACGCUGAAGCGAGGAGCUUACUCUUCUUGGAUGAGUUGCGAACGGGUGAGUAACGCGUAGGUAACCUGCCUUGUAGCGGGGGAUAACUAUUGGAAACGAUAGCUAAUACCGCAUAACAAUGGAUGACACAUGUCAUUUAUUUGAAAGGGGCAAUUGCUCCACUACAAGAUGGACCUGCGUUGUAUUAGCUAGUAGGUGAGGUAAUGGCUCACCUAGGCGACGAUACAUAGCCGACCUGGGAGGGUGAUCGGCCACACUGGGACUGAGACACGGCCCAGACUCCUACGGGAGGCAGCAGUAGGGAAUCUUCGGCAAUGGGGGCAACCCUGACCGAGCAACGCCGCGUGAGGGAAGAAGGUUUUCGGAUCGUAAAGCUCUGUUGUAAGUCAAGAACGGGUGUGGGAGUGGAAAGUUCACACUGUGACGGUAGCUUACCAGAAAGGGACGGCUAACUACGUG
rnacentral:rRNA from 1 species